CUUCCAUAUAAUUGUUUUAGUACUCUAGUAAAAUGCCUCCUAUCAGCAACUACACUCAUGAUUCUCUUCUCUCCUCAGGAAUCAUGCUAUGCUAUUCUAUUCUGGAGCAGCUGGGUAGCUCAGUCAAUUGAGAGCCAGACCUAGAGACAGGAGGUCCUAGUUUCUAAUUUGGCCUCAGAAACUUCCUAGCUGUGUGACCCUGGACAAGUCACCUAACCCCCAUUGUCUGGCUCUUACCACUCUUCUACUUCACAGUAUUGACUCUAAGACACAAAGUUCAAAUAAGUGUGAACCCUCAGGACCAUUGAAAAGAAGAGUGUGGUUGGCAUUUUUUAGACUUGACAUAUUUCUCGACCUAUAGAAGACCAAGACCUCUGGUACAGGAGGAAAGAGAUGAGCUUGUCUUGAAGGUGCUAUUUGUUGUAAUUAUUGCUUUCCAUUCUUGCUUUGAAUAGAAAAUGUAUUCUUAGGGUAGAUGAAAAUAUGUCUAUGUGUCGGGGUUUCCCUUUUGGGUUCACAGAGAAUUAUAAUGGCCAUGGAUUUGGGCUAAGUAACUAAAAACACAUAAUUCAUUUUGAUAAAUUCUAUUACCAUCUAUAGAAGGAAGUUUUCUUUAUAAAUAUUUGGAUCAUAUUAAAGACUAUAGAGAUUUGAAACUACUCUCAUACUUUUCUGAAUAUGCAACUACCAAUUCUAUAUCUCACUUUUAAAUUACUACUAAGAGGAUCAUCAAACUAUUGCUCUUAUUGCAUCUGCUAAUGAAUUUUACAUGAUCUUAAGACAUUUGUGAGAAAUUCUUUUUGAGCAAAGUAUCUUUAAAGCUAAAUCAUAUAAUUCAGUUAAUUCUUUUUUCUCUAAGAAAAUGCAUGGGAGUUUUUGUAUACUUGAAGUUUUUCAUUAAAAUUAUAUAAAUAUAAAGAUUUGGC
rnacentral:lncRNA from 1 species